AUUGAACGCUGGCGGCAGGCCUAACACAUGCAAGUCGAGCGAGCGGCGGACGGGUGAGUAAUGUAUGGGGACUGCCCGAUAGAGGGGGAUAACUACUGGAAACGGUGGCUAAUACCGCAUACUCUCGGAUAACCCAUAGGGGAUUAGUUAGUAGGUGGGGUAAAGGCUCACCUAGGCGACGAUCUCUAGCUGGUCUGAGAGGCGGAUCAGCCACCCUGGGACGGAGACACGGCCCAGACUCCUACGGAGGCAGCAGUGGGGAAUAUUGCACAAUGGGCGCAAGCCUGAUGCAGCCAUGCCGCGUGAGUGAUGAAGGUCUUCGGAUCGUAAAACUCUGUUAUUAGGGAAGCGGUACCUAAUCAGAAAGCCACGGCUAACUACGUGCCAGCCGCCGCGGUAAUAC
rnacentral:rRNA from 1 species